GGUUCGAUUCUGGNNAGGNCGNNCGCUGGCGGCACGCUUAACACAUGCAAGUCGAACGAGAGAAGAGAAGCUUGCUUUUCUGAUCUAGUGGCGGACGGGUGAGUAACACGUGAGCAAUCUGCCUUUCAGAGGGGGAUACCGAUUGGAAACGAUCGUUAAUACCGCAUAACAUAAUUGAACCGCAUGAUUUGAUUAUCAAAGAUUUAUCGCUGAAAGAUGAGCUCGCGUCUGAUUAGCUAGUUGGUAAGGUAACGGCUUACCAAGGCGACGAUCAGUAGCCGGACUGAGAGGUUGAUCGGCCACAUUGGGACUGAGACACGGCCCAGACUCCUACGGGAGGCAGCAGUGGGGAAUAUUGCACAAUGGAGGAAACUCUGAUGCAGCGAUGCCGCGUGAGGGAAGAAGGUUUUAGGAUUGUAAACCUCUGUCUUCAGGGACGAAAAAUGACGGUACCUGAGGAGGAAGCUCCGGCUAACUACGUGCCAGCAGCCGCGGUAAUACGUAGGGAGCGAGCGUUGUCCGGAAUUACUGGGUGUAAAGGGAGCGUAGGCGGGAUCGCAAGUCAGAUGUGAAAACUGUGGGCUUAACCCAUAAACUGCAUUUGAAACUGUGGUUCUUGAGUGAAGUAGAGGUAAGCGGAAUUCCUAGUGUAGCGGUGAAAUGCGUAGAUAUUAGGAGGAACAUCAGUGGCGAAGGCGGCUUACUGGGCUUUAACUGACGCUGAGGCUCGAAAGCGUGGGGGGCAAACAGGAUUAGAUACCCUGGUAGUCCACGCCGUAAACGAUGAUUACUAGGUGUGGGGGGACUGACCCCUUCCGUGCCGCAGCAAACGCAAUAAGUAAUCCACCUGGGGAGUACGACCGCAAGGUUGAAACUCAAAGGAAUUGACGGGGGCCCGCACAAGCAGUGGAGUAUGUGGAUUAAUUCGAAGCAACGCGAAGAACCUUACCAGGUCUUGACAUCGUAUGCAUAGCUCAGAGAUGAGUGAAAUCUCUUCGGAGACAUAUAGACAGGUGGUGCAUGGUUGUCGUCAGCUCGUGUCGUGAGAUGUUGGGUUAAGUCCCGCAACGAGCGCAACCCUUACUGUUAGUUGCUACGCAAGAGCACUCUAGCAGGACUGCCGUUGACAAAACGGAGGAAGGUGGGGAUGACGUCAAAUCAUCAUGCCCCUUAUGACCUGGGCCUCACACGUACUACAAUGGCUGUCAACAGAGGGAAGCAAAGCCGCGAGGUGGAGCAAACCCCUAAAAGCAGUCUUAGUUCGGAUUGUAGGCUGCAACCCGCCUACAUGAAGUCGGAAUUGCUAGUAAUCGCAGAUCAGCAUGCUGCGGUGAAUACGUUCCCGGGCCUUGUACACACCGCCCGUCACGCCAUGGGAGUCGGUAACACCCGAAGCCUGUAGUCUAACCGCAAGGAGGACGCAGUCGAAGGUGGGNUUNNUNACUGGGGUGAAGUCGUAACAAGGUAC
rnacentral:rRNA from 1 species